AGCAGCCGCGGUAAUUCCAGCUCCAAUAGCGUAUAUUAAAGUUGUUGCAGUUAAAAAGCUCGUAGUUGAACUUCAGGCCUGUCCAGAUGGUCCGCCUUAAUUGGUGUGUACUGUCCUUGGGUGGGUCCUACCUUCUGGCGAAGCGGCAUGGCCUUAAUUGGUUGUGUUGGGGAACCAGGACUUUUACUGUGAAAAAAUUUAGAGUGUUCAAAGCAGGCAAAUAUGCUCGAAUACAUUAGCAUGGAAUAAUGGAAUAGGACGAUGGUUCUAUUUUGUUGGUUCUAGGACCGUUGUAAUGAUUAAUAGGGAUAGUUGGGGGCAUUAGUAUUCAAUUGUCAGAGGUGAAAUUCUUGGAUUUAUUGAAGACUAACUACUGCGAAAGCAUUUGCCAAGGAUGUUUUCAUUAAUCAAGAACGAAAGUUAGGGGAUCGAAGACGAUCAGAUACCGUCGUAGUCUUAACCAUAAACUAUGCCGACCAGGAAUCGGGCGAUGUUGACAAAAUGACUCGCUCGGCACCU
rnacentral:misc_RNA from 1 species